rnacentral:rRNA from 1 species
UACAGAGGUCUCAAGCGUUGUUCGGAUUCAUUGGGCGUAAAGGGUGCGUAGGUGGCGCCGGUAAGUGGGGUGUGAAAUUUCGGAGCUUAACUCCGAAACUGCAUUCCAUACUGCGUGCUUGAGGACUGGAGAGGAGACUGGAAUUCAUGGUGUAGCAGUGAAAUGCGUAGAGAUCAUGAGGAAGACCAGUGGCGAAGGCGGGUCUCUGGACAGUUCCUGACACUGAGGCACGAAGGCCAGGGGAGCAAACGGG